GACGGAGGAUGCAAGUGUUAUCCGGAAUCACUGGGCGUAAAGGGCGCGUAGGCGGCUUUGUAAGUCGGGGGUGAAAGCCUGUGGCUCAACCACAGAAUUGCCUUCGAUACUGCAUGGCUUGAGACCGGAAGAGGUAAGUGGAACUGCGAGUGUAGAGGUGAAAUUCGUAGAUAUUCGCAAGAACACCAGUGGCGAAGGCGGCUUACUGGUCCGGUUCUGACGCUGAGGCGCGAAAGCGUGGG
rnacentral:rRNA from 1 species